UUACGGCCAUAUAGUGUUGAAACAAUGGUCCCUAUACAAUCACCAAAGUUAAGCAACAUUGACCCUGGUUAGUACCUAGAUGGGUGACCAAUUGAGAAUACCAGGUGCUGUU